GGAGGAAGAGGCAGAGAUUGGAGGUUCGGGCAGUGACGUAACUUUCUGCCUUAGGUGGCCUUCCGCUCUGGCGGCUGUCGCGACGGGGGUUCAGGGAACAUUUACUGGGGCUCCCCGCUCCCUCUGCUCUUGGAGGUGCCAUGAGGUCAGUUAGCUACGUGCAGCGCGUGGCGCUGGAGUUCAGCGGGAGCCUCUUCCCGCACGCAAUCUGCCUCGGAGACGUUGAUAACGAUACGUUAAAUGAACUGGUGGUGGGAGACACCAGCGGGAAGGUGUCUGUGUAUAAAAAUGAUGACAGUCGGCCAUGGCUCACCUGUUCCUGCCAGGGAAUGCUGACUUGCGUUGGGGUUGGAGACGUAUGUAAUAAAGGAAAGAACCUGUUGGUGGCAGUGAGUGCUGAAGGCUGGUUUCAUUUGUUUGACCUGACACCUGCCAAGAUGUUGGAUGCUUCUGGGCACCACGAGACACUAAUCGGAGAGGAGCAGCGUCCAGUCUUCAAGCAGCACAUCCCCGCCAACACCAAGGUCAUGCUGAUCAGCGACAUCGAUGGAGAUGGGUGUCGUGAGCUGGUGGUGGGCUACACGGACCGUGUGGUGCGAGCUUUCCGCUGGGAGGAGCUGGGUGAGGGUCCUGAACAUCUGACAGGGCAGCUGGUGUCCCUCAAGAAAUGGAUGCUGGAGGGUCAGGUGGACAGCCUCUCAGUGACUCUGGGACCACUGGGCCUUCCUGAACUGAUGGUGUCUCAGCCAGGCUGUGCUUAUGCAAUUCUACUGUGUACCUGGAAAAAGGACACUGGGUCCUCUCCUGCCUCUGAAGGGCCCACGGAUGGCAGUAGGGAGACCCCAGCUGUCCGAGAUGUGGUGCUGCACCAAACAUCUGGCCGUAUCCACAACAAGAAUGUCUCCACUCACCUAAUUGGCAACAUCAAACAAGGCCACGGCACUGAGAGUAGUGGCUCUGGCCUCUUUGCCCUGUGCACCCUGGAUGGGACACUGAAGCUCAUGGAAGAAAUGGAAGAAGCAGACAAGCUGCUGUGGUCAGUGCAGGUGGAUCACCAGCUCUUUGCCCUGGAGAAAUUGGAUGUCACCGGCAACGGGCAUGAGGAGGUAGUUGCAUGCGCCUGGGAUGGACAGACCUAUAUCAUUGAUCACAACCGCACCGUCGUCCGCUUCCAAGUGGAUGAAAAUAUCCGUGCCUUCUGUGCAGGGCUGUACGCCUGCAAAGGGGGCCACAACAGCCCCUGCCUCGUAUAUGUCACUUUCAACCAGAAGAUCUAUGUGUACUGGGAGGUGCAGCUGGAGCGGAUGGAGUCUACCAAUCUGGUGAAACUGCUGGAGACCAAGCCGGAGUACCACAGCCUGCUGCAGGAGCUGGGCGUGGAUCCUGACGACCUCCCUGUGACUCGUGCCCUGCUUCACCAAACGCUCUACCAUCCAGACCAGCCACCGCAGUGUGCUCCCUCCAGCCUCCAGGAUCCCACCUAGCUGUACUUGCCUCAUAGCUGGUGAAGGAUUCUUCUGAACCCCCACCCUACCCCGUAAAGAUCCGAGGACACUGGCACAGAGAUGGGGGAUAGUCAGAACAUCUCUGGGGACUCCUUGUGCUGCAGGGACUGAAAGUCUCGGCCUUUGCCCCACCCCGAAGACAAAGGUGAGAGUUGACCAGAAGAGCUGGAAUCUCUGUCCUGCUGGUCUUCCUCCUGCUCUCCUGGCCAUGAGUCAGGGCCUGCACCCGGGGAGACUCCCCCUGAAGCCAUUUCGGGUUUCCCUCCACCAGGCGUCUUUGGAUCACACUGUGCGGCUGCUGGCUCCAUCACAAAACAAUGAAGAUGGGAUCUUGCUAUGCUGCCCAGACUGGACUCUAAUUCCUUGGCUCAAGGCAUUCUCUAGCCUCAGCCUCCUGAGCAGCUGGGACCAAAAGCAUAUGCCACAGCACCUGGCCUCCAUCCUUCCUUUCUGUUACUGCCUGUGUUCCAGACUCCCCACAGCUCUCUUGGAUCCUUAGAACACCUUCUUAAGUUCAUAACCUGUCUCCAGACCUGUUACCUUUCAAAUACAUCUGCUUGGAGCUUCAGACUGGAAGCUAAAACCUUGCUACUCCAAAAUGUAGUCCUCAGAUCAGCAACUUUAACAUCAUUUCGAAGCCUCUUAAAAAUGCAGACUCAUACCUACUGAAUCAGAUGUUUCAUUGUGACAAGAUCCCCAGGUGAUUCAUGUGCAGGUUAAAGUUUGCAGAGCACCAAAGUAAACAUGAAACUAACCAUGUACUCUCUUAUUUAAAAUGCAUCAAAGACCCCCCACCCUACCCCGCAUUGCUUGCAUGAUAGAGCUCAAGCUUUUGAAGGUGAUCUGCAGCCCAGAUGACGGGGCCGUGCCUCCUUCCCGGCCACUCUAUUUAUGGGCCCCAGAAGCACCGCUCAUACCAGGCUGCUUUUUGCCUCCAUGUCUUUACUCCUUUCUCCUCUCUUCCUGAAACUCCUCUUCCUCACUUUUCUCGAGGCUAGACUGGAUGACUAGCUUAACACACUUUAUUUGAGAGAGAGGUUGUAUCUUCAGUUUGGGAUUCCGUGUACAUCCUAUAAUGCAGGAUGGACCCUUUCCAGGAUACCCUCUGUGAGUUCUUCAUGCUCCUCUCUCCAUACACGCCAAGCUGGGGUCCCUUGUCUUAGCUCCCAUGCUUCUCACAAAUGUUAUGUAUGGAUUUUACUCCCGCAUUAGCCUGGAGAGCCCUUGAGUCUACCUCACUCAUUUUUAUAUCCCAGGGCAUGGCUCAGCAUCUAGUAGGCACUCAAUAAAUGCUUGCUGCAGACUGACUCUUCUCCCAGGCUCUAUGCACCUCUCCACCUGCCCUCUCUCCUUGGGAGCCUGGGAUUGUUUUUCUACUCUUAGAUUAAUGAGGCCCUUGGGGUUGCUCCUGGCAGCAAGGCUGCCAGCAGGAGACCCAGUGCUGGGAAAAGUUCAGCGAGCUCUGGGACUGGCUGGAGAGACUGGCUCUGCACUUCCCAUCUUCCACCUUCCCACGAUGGACUCAGGCUUCAGGCCACUCCCACUAUUGUGCAGUUUGCUCCACAGCCAUCCCAGGGAGGGAGACAAUGGGGCCUUCCCUACCUGUUGUGCCUUUGCUCCCAAAGCCAUAGGAGGUAACUGCUAGAGAUCAAUUGGGGAUAUCCUAGGCAGAGGGGAGAGGUGAAAAGCCCAGGACUUCUCAUCAGAAGGCGGGACCUGCCACUCCGGGAUGGCAAUGUCAGUGGAGCACCUUCUCCUGGGGCCAAACAGAUGUAGGAUGGUCCCCAGUAGGUUCUAGCCAUUGAGAGCCAAAGAACCCACUUCCCUGCUCCAUCCCUGUUUUUCAGCUAUGCUUGCUGCCACUGCAAGUAGGAAUAAGCAAGUCUCAGUGCAAUCCCUUUUCCUCGUUGGGAGCUAGGGAAUUGCCAGGCCUCUGGGCUGUGGUCCUGGUGGGGGCAACCCAGGCCGAGAGGAGUCUGGAAAGGUAGAGCUAAGUAGGGAAAGGUAACGAGGCGCUGCAUUGCCUUCAGGUUCCCGGGGAGAAGCAGUUGGUGGAGCGCAGGCCUGCAGACGUGCUUCCAACCUCAGCACAGGCCUGGUUGAGUACCUCUUCUCAGACCAGGAGAGGGGACAGGGAACCGAGUGCUCCCAAGCCUUUCUACGAAGGAUUUCCUCUUCCGUGGGUCAGAGGCUAGGAAUAUUUCUCAGGCUAAAGGAAAUAGUAGCUGGGGGAUAAUAGCAUUUAGAUAGUGCCUGCUAUUGGGCACUGUUCUAAGUGCUUUAAAUAUAUCAGCUCUAACAACUCUCCCAACAGUCCUGUGAUUGAUUGGAUUCUCAUUUAACAGAUGAAGAAACUGAGGCACAGAGACGGAAAGUCAAUUGUGCAAGUUAGUGAAUGGCAGAGCCAGGAUCUGAUCCCAAGCGAAGUGGCUGUGCAGCCCCGCUUGUCAGCACUGCCUCUCAGAGGGGAAUGCCUGAAUCUGCAGUUGUCCCCCACCCACUCACAUCCUCGCUGUGACUCCCCUGCCCCAUUCCUCUGAGGCCAAAGCUGCUGCAGACGGAUGGGAGGAGGGGAGCCGGGAAGGUCCAUUCCACUUAGGAGCUGGGGGAGCAGCACUCAAGGCGGCCAGGGGCCCCCAGCAAGAGCCACACAAAACCCUGAUGCCCUGGGAGGGAUGGAGACCCCCCGAUGUUUUGAUUCUGAGGAGAAAGGACAGGCGGAUAGACAGACCUGGUGGAGGGAACCUGUGGUUCGGGGAGAACAGGAAGUCACAACCCUAAACUGGCCAGUCCUCCAGGCCCUCCCGCUUGUAAGUGACCACUCUAGAGGGUGCCUGUGUUUCUGUAAGCCCCCACUCCUGAACAGCCUAGCUCCUCACCACCCUCAAGUUUGGGGCCAUUAGAGGAAAAAGGUAGGGAAGCCGAGCAAUGGGAAUAGGACCCCUCAGAGCCACCAAACCACAGGAACAUCCCCAGUGAAGAGCCUGGAGUUCGCAAGAUGACCUUUCCCCAUCUCAGCAAGGGAGCGGGACCUGAAAGCUGAGGGUCUGCACUUUCUGCUCCUGCCUCUCCUGCUCAGGAUCUGGGAAGUGGAAGGCAAGGGCCAGGGGAC